rnacentral:rRNA from 1 species
UACGAAGGGGCUAGCGUUGCUCGGAAUCACUGGGCGUAAAGGGUGCGUAGGCGGGUCUUUAAGUCAGGGUGAAAUCCUGGAGCUCAACUCCAGAACUGCCUUUGAUACUGAAGAUCUUGAGUUCGGAGAGGUGAGUGGAACUGCGAGUGUAGAGGUGAAAUUCGUAGAUAUUCGCAAGAACACCAGUGGCGAAGGCGGCUCACUGGCCCGAUACUGACGCUGAGGCACGAAAGCGUGGAGCAAACAGG